rnacentral:rRNA from 1 species
UCCCUAUGGGGUGCAGCAGGCGCAAAAACUUUACAAUGCGGGCAACCGUGAUAAGGGGACACCGAGUGCCAGCAACAAUUGUUGGCUGUCCAUGUGCUUAAAUUGCACGUGUUAGCAAGGGCCGGGCAAGACCGGUGCCAGCCGCCGCGGUAACACCGGCGGCCCGAGUGGUGAUCGUUAUUAUUGGGUCUAAAGGGUCCGUAGCCGGUUUAGUCAGUCCUCCGGGAAAUCUGCCAGCUUAACUGGUAGGCUAUCGGGGGAUACUGCUAGACUUGGAACCGGGAGAGGUAAGAGGUACUACAGGGGUAGGAGUGAAAUCUUGUAAUCCCUGUGGGACCACCUGUGGCGAAGGCGUCUUACCAGAACGGGUUCGACGGUGAGGGACGAAAGCUGGGGGCACGAACCGGAUUAGAUACCCGGGUAGUCCCAGCCGUAAACGAUGCUCGCUAGGUGUCAGGCACGGUGCGACCGUGUUUGGUGCCGCAGGGAAGCCGUGAAGCGAGCCACCUGGGAAGUACGGCCGCAAGGCUGAAACUUAAAGGAAUUGGCGGGGGAGCACAACAACGGGUGGAGCCUGCGGUUUAAUUGGAUUCAACGCCGGAA